AGGCGUGCGCCUUGACGCUCAGCGCGCACGGCGAGCGCCGCUUCUCGGCCAUGGUUCCGGAUCCCAAGUCCCGGGAAGCGACGGCGGUCGUCGUUGACUGGUAGUCUGGACGACGACGAAGAAGAGUCCCCGAAAAGUAAUGGUGAGAAGGCACCCCGAAGGGACGCUUGGACCUCCACGACCAGUGAGCAAGUAAGGAGGGCACUGAAUGGAUUGGCAAGUGCCCUGCAAGGCCUCUCAUCUGAGCGGGCUUCAUCAGCCCAUGCAACUGCCCAAACCUGAAGCUGAACCUGAAGGCCAAACAACGUCCAAGACGAGCAAAACGGUUCAGUUGCCGUCCAAUCGAUGACCUAAAACGGCAAGUAACUUGAAAUGCAUUGUCAUACAUUUUUUUUGGGGGGGGGGGAAAUUCCAACUUGUUGUCCUUGUCCAAAGCCGCUCUUUUGAAGAAGUCGGGGUGCCCGUCGCGCCGCUAACAUUCAUGAUGAUGUGAAAAUCACAAUCUUAAAAUGCAAACAUCUGCAGCUCGUAACUGGGAGUGGCGAGCGCACAUGCGUCUUAAAAAGCACACACUUAUUUUCAUCUCAUUUCUGUCGCCCGACGCAACUGGAAGCAUUUAAACAUACUUUUUUUUUUUUUUUAAUCAAAGACCAAAGUCUUUUAAAAAAAAAAUGGCCGCUAAUCCCGCCUUUCUUCGCCGUCCAACUAGCAUUUAUCGCACAUUGAAGGAAUGUCGUUUUAUUGGUGUGUUUAGGGCGGAAAAAAACGGGCACAAAUAUGUCCAGUUUUUUAUAACCGCUUUGCAAAAAGAGGAAAGAAAGCGUUCCAGUGUUUCCCUAUUUUUACCUUUCUCUAAUUGGUGGCAAUGACUCCAUUUAAACGGCAAACGGCAACAUGAAAAGCUCGUGUGGGCAGGUUACGCGUGUUCCCUUGACGAGCCCAUCUACCUUUGGCUGUACUUUUAUAUUAUAUGACAAUAUGAUAUGAACGUAAUAUGUUUUGACAUAAUUUUCAGAAUAAAAUUCACUCCAACUCGCAUUCGUCAUGUACUUUGGCGAUAUUUUGCGUUAUUUGGUCAAACAUACUGUAUUUUCCACAUUUCCUGCCAAAAGUCAACCGCCACAACGAGGCACUCUAAAGCAGCCACGCCCGCUCCUACCCCUGUUCACUUGUUGGCUGUCUAGUCAGACUUUUUUUUUUACUGUCCAUAAUCGAGUUUUGUUAUUCAGACCUUUUUUUCCCCUCAGAUUUCUUGUCAUAUUAAGUUUACAAAAAAAAAAUAUUUUUGUCGAAAAAUACAUUUCCUUUGGAAAAAUUUAAAAAAAUUUCCGCCGCUGACAUAAAAAAAA